rnacentral:lncRNA from 1 species
CGGCGCUGCUCCUGUCUGCUGCCUGCCCUGCACAGCCCGGUGCGCACGCCAGAGAAAGUUCUGUGGUUUUUGGGGAAAAGAUCAGUCGCACGAGUGCUUUAAAUCACUGUCACUGCAAAUCUGCAAAAAGCCCGAGGCUCUUGGGAAGACAGCUCGUCACCUGCCCUCGUAAUGUAAAUCGCUUUGGCCAUUUUCUGGAGCUGAGGUGCGGGGCACAGACUCGGCUUGCCUGUCAAUUUGCCCCUAAUGCAAGAUGGAGAAGCUACCCGAACACAGCCACUUAGAACAAGAAAGCAAUUCAGCUUCAGCAGGCAGCAUCCGUGGGGAGUCACGCGUGAGUGAGUGAUGACGGAGCCCCCUUGGGGCGGCACACGGAGUACGCGGCCUCAGCGACCCGAGAGGCGGCCAGUGUUCCUUGGCGAAGCCCCACUGACCUCCAUUGCUGCUUGACAAAGUUCCAGCUGGGGGAAAGAAAGGGUGGAACACAUCGCACCCUCAUGUUUUAUUUUUUCUUGCCAUAAUGUUUAUAAUUGUUACUCUGGUCACAGGAAUCAUUGUGUUUGUGACUAACAACAAACUCUCCACGAGGCAAAUUGGCAAUGAUGUAUUGAAAUCUGAUCUGGCUCACAAGUCCCAAAUUCCAGUUUCUCUUAGUUCUAUUGCCACAUCCACUCCUAAAGAAACCUCUCCUAAAACCCCCUCUGUUCCCCACUACUAUGACUCCCCCGCUUAUUGCUGACAUUCUUUUUACUAAAGGGGUCUUAUGAAGAGAUUGGAAAGACAGACUUUCCAUGAAAGAAAUAGUGGAAAAUGGGAAAAAGAAAGAACAUUAAGACAGGUAAAUGGAUUAAGGAGACAAGUUACUCAGUAUUUCUCAAAGUGCUGUAAAUAUCUCCUGCUCAUGGACUAUGAACCUAAAUGACAUUUAGUUAAGAUGAAUAGAGGUAUAGAAAAAUAGAGAGCUAAUAGCAAACUAUAUUAACCAUCGUGCAGUUUCUCAAGGGCCAGCUGGCGACCACAAGUUUGACACUUAGUUGAUUAAAUCUUGCUUGUACCCCCCCUGAUAUAAAGAUUUUGAUUAAGUUACCUUCUGUUCUGUUUAGGUGUGGGUAAAUAAGGGGACAAUUGUAAUUUUUAAAUAUGUAUUCGUG